rnacentral:rRNA from 1 species
AUACGGAGGAUGCAAGCGUUAUCCGGAUUUAUUGGGUUUAAAGGGUGCGUAGGCGGGACUGUAAGUCAGGGGUGAAAUACUGCAGCUUAACUGUAGCAUUGCCUUUGAAACUGCCGUUCUUGAGUACAGUUGAGGUAGGCGGAAUGUGGUGUGUAGCGGUGAAAUGCAUAGAUAUACCACAGAACGCCGAUUGCGAAGGCAGCUUACUAAGCUGUUACUGACGCUGAGGCACGAAAGCGUGGGGAUCAAACAGGAUUAGAUACCCUGGUAGUCCACGCUGUAAACGAUGAUUACUGGUUGUUAGCGAUAUAUAGCUAGUGACUGAGCGAAAACAUUAAGUAAUCCACCUGGGGAGUACGUCGGCAACGAUGAAACUCAAAUGAAUCGACGGGG